UGCAUCUGUGCGAUAUGCACAUUUUGCACACAACAUGUUUGGUAGUCCAUCAUACCUAUCGAUCUAAAAAAGAAAUAUGUAUAUCAGAUAAUUAGGUUAUGCAAAAGGUAGUACAUAGGUAUAAGCAAGGAAUUUUCUGAGAAAAUAUGUUUACAAGAAUCUAUUUGUUUUGUUCCAAUGAGCAUUCACACUACCUGUCUCAAUUGUUGACAACAUGACAUAUGUCACAACUUAUUGUAAAACAUAAUUUAAUUAUGUAAAAUAAUUUUAACAUACAAUUAAUUUAAUAUUGUACUCUCAUAGACGUUGUAAUAAUAAAAAGGAAACAUGAACAUAAUCUUUAAUAAAGACAUGUGAAUAUCA